rnacentral:rRNA from 1 species
AUACGGAGGGGGUUAGCGUUGUUCGGAAUUACUGGGCGUAAAGCGCGCGUAGGCGGACUAGAAAGUUGGGGGUGAAAGCCCGGGGCUCAACCUCGGAACUGCAUUCGAUACUCCCGUGCUAGAGUAAUGGAGAGGUAAGUGGAAUUCCUGGUGUAGCAGUGAAAUGCGUGGAUAUCAGGAGGAACAUCAAUGGCGAAGGCAACUUACUGGACAUUUACUGACGCUCAGACACGAAGGCUAGGGUAGCGAAAGGGAUUAGAUACCCCUGUAGUCCUAGCAGUAAACGGUGCUCGCUUGGUGUGGGAGGAUUCGACCCCUUCUGUGCCGGAGCUAACGCGUUAAGCGAGCCGCCUGGGAAGUACGGUCGCAAGACUAAAACUCAAAGAAAUUGACGGGGACCCGCACAAGCGGUGGAGUAUGUGGCUUAAUUCGAUGCAACGCGAAGAACCUUACCUACUCUUGACAUACUAGAAACUUUUCAGAGAUGAAUUGGUGCCUUCGGGAA